rnacentral:rRNA from 1 species
CGGCGGACGGGUGAGUAACACGUGGGUAACCUACCUAUAAGACUGGGACAACUUCGGGAAACCGGAGCUAAUACCGGAUAAGAUAUCGAACCGCGUGGUUCGAUAGUGAAAGAUGGUUUUGCUAUCACUUAUAGAUGGACCCGCGCCGUAUUAGCUAGUUGGUGAGGUAACGGCUCACCAAGGCAACGAUACGUAGCCGACCUGAGAGGGUGAUCGGCCACACUGGAACUGAGACACGGUCCAGACUCCUACGGGAGGCAGCAGUG